GAUGAACGCUGGCGGCGUGCCUAAUACAUGCAAGUCGAGCGAACAGACGAGGAGCUUGCUCCUCUGACGUUAGCGGCGGACGGGCGAGUAACACGUGGAUAACCUACCUAUAAGACUGGGAUAACUUCGGGAAACCGGAGCUAAUACCGGAUAAUAUAUUGAACCGCAUGGUUCAAUAGUGAAAGACGGUUUUGCUGUCACUUAUAGAUGGAUCCGCGCCGCAUUAGCUAGUUGGUAAGGUAACGGCUUACCAAGGCAACGAUGCGUAGCCGACCUGAGAGGGUGAUCGGCCACACUGGAACUGAGACACGGUCCAGACUCCUACGGGAGGCAGCAGUAGGGAAUCUUCCGCAAUGGGGGAAAGCCUGACGGAGCAACGCCGCGUGAGUGAUGAAGGUCUUCGGAUCGUAAAACUCUGUUAUUAGGGAAGAACAAAUGUGUAAGUAACUAUGCACGUCUUGACGGUACCUAAUCAGAAAGCCACGGCUAACUACGUG
rnacentral:rRNA from 1 species